rnacentral:miRNA from 8 species
CUCCCACAUGCAGGGUUUGCA